AUUGAACGCUGGCGGCAGGCUUAACACAUGCAAGUCGAGCGGAGAGAGGUAGCUUGCUACUGAUCUUAGCGGCGGACGGGUGAGUAAUGCUUAGGAAUCUGCCUAUUAGUGGGGGACAACAUUUCGAAAGGAAUGCUAAUACCGCAUACGUCCUACGGGAGAAAGCAGGGGAUCUUCGGACCUUGCGCUAAUAGAUGAGCCUAUGUCGGAUUAGCUAGUUGGUGGGGUAAAGGCCUACCAAGGCGACGAUCUGUAGCGGGUCUGAGAGGAUGAGCCGCCACCCUGGGACUGAGACACGGCCCGGACUCCUACGGGAGGCAGCAGUGGGGAAUAUUGGACAAUGGGCGCAAGCCUGAUCCAGCCAUGCCGCGUGUGUGAAGAAGGCCUUAUGGUUGUAAAGCACUUUAAGCGAGGAGGAGGCUACUUUAGUUAAUACCUAGAGAUAGUGGACGUUACUCGCAGAAUAAGCACCGGCUAACUCUGUGCCAGCCGCCGCCGUAA
rnacentral:rRNA from 1 species